rnacentral:rRNA from 1 species
ACGUAAGUUUCAUGUCGUUGUUUACUACUUGGAUAUCCACUGGUAAUUCUAGAGCUAAUACAUGCGUCCAGACCCAACUUUGGGGAAGGGUUGUGGUUAUUAAAACACUAACCCACCCCGGCUUGCCCGGUUUCGAGGUGAUUGAUGGUAAUCGAACGAAUCGCAUGCUUUGCCGCCAAGAAUCCAUCCAGUUUCCGAACCAUCCACCUUCCAACGGAGGGUAAUGGCCCACCCUGGCCUUUACCGGGAAACGAAAAAUUAGGUUUGAUUCCCGAAAAGGAACCCGAAAAAACGCCACCCCCUCCUAAGGAAGGCGCCAGGGCCCCAAUUUCCCCAUCCCGACCCAAGGGGGGUGUGGCCAAAAAUAACCAUUUGAGGCCUUUUUGGCCUGGAAUUGGAAAGAACACAAUUUAAAACCCCUUUCCAGUAACCAUUGG